CAGAGUGGUUGCUGCUUCCCAGGAGGGAAUUAUCAGGGCUGAAUUAUCAUGGAGAAGAAUGAGCAGAGUUAUGGGAAGAAUUGUUGACUGUGUUACAACCUGCUCCAGAAGGAGAAGGGAUUGUCAUUGGAGGAGUUUGAUAUACACCUGCAGCUGUGCAUCAUCUCCAGCAGCAUGACUUUUGUGGCUUUCUGACCAACCAUAACCCAUUAAGCAUUGUGUGCCAGGAAAAGCUCUGCAGGGAACACAUCUUGUUCCCCAGC
rnacentral:lncRNA from 1 species